CCUACGGUAGGCUGCAGUGGGGAAUAUUGGACAAUGGGCGAAAGCCUGAUCCAGCCAUGCCGCGUGUGUGAAGAAGGCCUUCGGGUUGUAAAGCACUUUCAGUGGGGAAGAAAGCCUUGGGGCUAAUACCCUCGAGGAAGGACAUCACCCACAGAAGAAGCACCGGCUAACUCCGUGCCAGCAGCCGCGGUAAUACGGAGGGUGCGAGCGUUAAUCGGAAUUACUGGGCGUAAAGCGCGCGUAGGCGGUCUGAUAAGCCGGUUGUGAAAGCCCCGGGCUCAACCUGGGAACGGCAUCCGGAACUGUCAGGCUAGAGUGCAGGAGAGGAAGGUAGAAUUCCCGGUGUAGCGGUGAAAUGCAUAGAGAUCGGGAGGAAUACCAGUGGCGAAGGCGGCCUUCUGGACUGACACUGACGCUGAGGUGCGAAAGCGUGGGUAGCAAACAGGAUUAGAUACCCUUGUAGUC
rnacentral:rRNA from 1 species